CACGUUUCCUCUCAGGGUUUCACAGUCACUCGGACGAAGGCGGAGCGAGAGGACCGCCCCUCGAGUCUCUCGUAACUGGCGUCGUGAGUGAAUCUUUUCCAGCCAAUUAUCGGCCACAGUAUGAUACAAGUCUUGUAGAGGAGAAACAGAAGAAAGAGAAAGGCGCACAAAGAAGACGAAGAGGAAGAGGACGCUCAGACAAUAAAGAUGGCAGGAGCAAAUAAGAGAACCACGGUCUGUCUGACGACUGUGGCCGUUGUGUUCAUCGUCGUGAUCAUCAUCUUGUGCGUUAUACCGAGGCCCUGCAGGAAGGGCGAGGCCUGCUAUGACGAGGGACAAUCGAAGAAUGCCUUUAUCUCCGGCGUCAUCACUGACACUAGCACCACCCAGACCUCAACCACUAGUACUGAAACCACGACAUGAACCACGUCAACUGAAACAAUUGUAGUUACUACGCCUGCGACCGUCAGCGAGACCACAUCUUCGACUACUUAUUCUUCCACUUCAACUUCUAUGUCCACGACAUCCUCUUCUGAAGCCAUGCCACCUGUGACCGAACCAUCGGUCACGGAAACCACUACCGAGACGUCGGACCUCGCUGAAACGACGCCUGUGACAAAGGCAGAUGAGAAUACAACCGAGGUUGUGACAGUAACAGAGACAACUGAGGCAAUAACGGACACAACAGCGGAGACAACGGAGGCUGAAACAACAAUGACAACUACUGAAGAGAUUCCAACAACCACAGAGGAAUAUACUUUCACCUACAUGGAAGGGAGGGACUGCAACACUACAGCUUGCAGACGUUAGCGGCGCGCAUGCUCGACAUGAUGGACAAUGGGGAUAUCAGCCCCUGUACGGACUUCUACCAGUAC